rnacentral:lncRNA from 10 species
GCUUGCUGUAGAGGCAGGCGCCGGGUGUGUCGCGGCAGUGCAGCGGCCGCGAAGGGGUGUUUUGCUGUAUGUCAUAUUCCUCGUUUCGCCAGAGCGGGGGUCCCGAGCUUCGGGCGCGGGACGCGGGGGUGCUCCGAGGCUGCGAGUGGAGGCGUGACGUGACGUCCCUGGCAAGAGGCGCGCGGAGUCAGGCCUUACUUAGAACGUGUUCCCGCCGCACAGCUACCAGCGGGCGCGACCGCUACCCACGCAUGGUGCGGUCGAGUAAACGGCACCGCCUGGCGAGCGAGAGACGCAAAGGGACAUAGCCCCCUAGGAGCUGAGCUCUUCGGGGGUAAAGCGUUCUCACGUUGAUGAGACCAGGAGGCGGCGCACGCCUGGCUCCGCGGCCCAGGGGUUGCAGGUGCCCCAGGGUUCGCGGGGCGCAGACGCCGCAGAGGGCGACGCCCUGCCCGGGUCCCGCGCGGACCCGGGGGACGCAGGGUCUGACACGGAGUGCGGAGGGGCCCCAGACACGCAGUCCAUGUCCCUUGAAACCAGAGGCACGCGCGGCCACGCGCUAGGCCUUUCCCUUAAGCCUGUGACCAAGAUCUCCGGGACUCCCAGCGUUGGGACGGGCGCGCUGGCCCACGCCCAAGCGGGAGGAUCGCUUGCGCCCAGGAGAUUGAGACCAGCCUGAGCACCAAAGCGAGACCUCGUCUCUACAAAAAAUAAGACUCAAGAAGACACCCAGGGUGAAUCGCCCGUCUGCAGCCAGCCUCCCGAGCACCGUGGCCGCGUCUGACAACUGACCUCUGUGUCUGGGUGUCCCUGUCCUCAGAGGGACACGGGACCUCAGAAAGGACCACAGCCCGGCGGCAGGCAUGAUGGUGGGAAAGCUAGUUAGGACAGGUGAGGCACUAAAUUUAGCCUGUCAUAAUUUGUAUCAGGGAAAUGAUGAACUUGUAUUUUUACACACCAUGGGCACCAACACAAGAUAUGGUUUCGUAAGCAGCUUUGGCAAGAACCAAAGGAACGGAACCUCUGCUUCCAAGUGUACGGUCAGGAGCAGCGUGUUAAUUAAAAUACACAAAAGAAUUUCUCAAAAAACAGUAAACGAACAGCAACCCGAUAGAAAAACGAGGAAAGAAUAUGAAUAAGCAGCUCCAGAAGAGGAAAUUCAGGUGGCCGGUAAACACAUGAAAAAGAUGCUCAUCUUCACUGGUCACCAGGAAAAUGUGUGAAUAAACAAACUGGCACAUCCACACUGCGGAACACGGCUCAACCCCCAGGAGGACCCGGCGCGGAGCCCGGCUCAACCCUGAAGAGGAUUUCACUACUGACACACACGACAUCACAGGUGACUCUGGGAGCAAUCAGGUUCAGUGAGAGAAGCCGGACAAAAAAGAGUGCGUACCUUAUGACUCCACUUACAUAAAAUCCUAGAAAAUACAAACACCAGGCAGGCGCGGUGGCUCACCGCUGUAAUCCCCGCACUUCGGGAGGCCGAGGCAGGCACAUCACUUGAAGUCAGGAAUAUGAGACCCGCCUGGCCAACAUGGCAAAACCCCAUCUCUACUAAAAAUACAAAAAUUACCCUGGCGUGGUGGCACACGCCUGUAGUCCCAGCUACUCGGGAGGCUGAGGCAACCUGGGAGGCAGAGAUUUCAGUGAGCUGAGAUCACACCACGGCACUCCAGCCUGGGUGACAGAGACUCCAUCUCAAAAAAUAAAAAUAAAAAACAUAAAUAGCAACAGAGAGCAAAUCAGCAGUCGCUUGGGAAAUAAGGGGUAGGGAUGGGUGAGAGGGAGGGAUUACCAGGUACACGUGCAGCCUGGAUAGUGCUGAGGGCUUCACGACGUAGACGCAUCAGCCUCAUCAAAUUACACACUCUACCUAUGUGCGGUUUGCCUUGUGUCAACUGUGUAUCCAUAAAGCUAUCAACAAAAACUGCCUGCAAACUAUUUUUAACUGACAACUUUUUUUUUUUUUUGGGAUGGAGUCUCGCUCUGUUGCCCAGGCUGGAGUGCACUGGCGCGAUCUUGGCUCACUGCAACCUACGCCUCCUGGGUUCAAGCGAUCCUCCUGCCUCAGCCUCCUGAGUAGCUGGGACUACAGGUGUCCACCACCACGCCCGACUAAUUUUUGUAUUGUUAGUAGAGAUGGAGUUUCACCAUGUUGGUCAGGCUGGUCGCGAACUCCUGACCUCAAGUGAUCCACCGCCUUGGCCUCCAAAAGUGCUGGAAUUAUAGGUAUGAGCCACUGCACCUGGCCAGACAACUGU